rnacentral:rRNA from 1 species
AGACGUCUCCGAGUUUGAUCAUGGCUCAGAACGAACGCUGGCGGCAUGCCUAACACAUGCAAGUCGAACGAAGGCUUCGGCCUUAGUGGCGCACGGGUGCGUAACGCGUGGGAACCUGCCCCUCGGUUCGGAAUAACAGUUAGAAAUGACUGCUAAUACCGGAUGAUGACUUCGGUCCAAAGAUUUAUCGCCGAGGGAUGGGCCCGCGUAGGAUUAGCUAGUUGGUGGGGUAAAGGCCUACCAAGGCGACGAUCCUUAGCUGGUCUGAGAGGAUGAUCAGCCACACUGGGACUGAGACACGGCCCAGACUCCUACGGGAGGCAGCAGUGGGGAAUAUUGGACAAUGGGCGAAAGCCUGAUCCAGCAAUGCCGCGUGAGUGAUGAAGGCCUUAGGGUUGUAAAGCUCUUUUACCAGGGAUGAUAAUGACAGUACCUGGAGAAUAAGCUCCGGCUAACUCCGUG